rnacentral:rRNA from 1 species
GACGAACGCCGGCGGCGUGCCUAAUACAUGCAAGUCGAGCGGAACUUUGGAAGUAGCUUGCUACGGAAGAAGUUUAGCGGCGGACGGGUGAGUAACACGUAGGCAACCUGCCUGUAAGCUGGGGAUAACCUCCGGAAACGGAAGCUAAGACCCGAUAGGAAAUGCUCUCGCAUGAGGGUGUUUGGAAAGACGGAGCAAUCUGUUGCUUACGGAUGGGCCUGCGGCGCAUUAGCUAGUAGGUGAGGUAACGGCACACCUAGGCGACGAUGCGUAGCCGACAGGAGAGGGUGAACGGCCACACUGGGACGGAGACACUGCCCAGACUCCUACGGGAGGCAGCAGUAGGGAUUCUUCGGCAAUGGACGAAAGUCUGACCGAGCAACGCCGGGUGAGUGAAGAAGGGUUUCGGCUCGUAAAACUCUGUUGCCAAGGAAGAAGGGUAAGGAGAGUAACUGCUCUUUAGUUGACGGUACCUGAGAAGAAAGCCCCGGCUAACUACGUGCCAGCCGCCGCCGUAAAAC